AAAGCAGACUUUGAUCCCUAUCUUCCCAUUUUCAGGCCUUCCAGAUCAUCUCUGCCCAGACAUCUCUGCCCUUCCUGCUCAGACACCCCAAAGAGCUGCAGGCCUCUGCUGAUUUUCAACCUGUCCCCAGCAUCACUGGUGCCAACAAUGAUGCAUAUGGCUUUAUCAUCCCCUUGGUGAGGCCCAGGUCCAAGUCCUUGGUGUCUGGGGAGCCUAGGUAGGAGCUGCACGCCAAGCUGAACUACAACACAAACUCUCCCUGCCAGCCAGAUUGUGACACCCACUAAUACCCAAAAGGAAAUUGACAGAGAAACCAUGCGGAAUGCUCUGCAGAGAAGGCCAGCAAAAAUGUAGCAGAAGAAAGAAGGAGCCUUCCAGAAUCAGCCCAAAGUUGAUUCAACUAGAGGCUGGGGUGAGUAAGGGCAAGUUGGGCAAGGAAAUGGCCUGGUUCCUGGGAAGGGCUGGGGAGGAAAG
rnacentral:lncRNA from 1 species